UCAUAUGCUGAGGUUGCUAAGAUCUAUGGCAAGAAUGAAUCUUCUAUCUGUGAAACUGUGAAGAAGGAAAAUGAAAUUUAUGCUAGUUCUGCUGCAUAUAUAGGGUUCAGUAUUAUCUGCAGUUUCAGCCUACCUAUUCUCCCAGAGGGCAUGCAUUCUAUGGAGACAGAGCUGAAUGUGUGCCAUCAGAAGACCAAAAUCAAGCGACAUUUUAAAAAGAAAACAGACUCUUCUGGGAAAAAUGGUGACUCCACAAAGUAAGAAGCCACCAAGACUUGUAGGACAUUCCUUCAUCUUCUCCUGGAUGGGGCAACCCAGCCAUGGAUAUAUGCCUCCAAUCAGCAUAAAUGCCCAUUGCUUGAUAAAGUCAACACACGUGUAAGAUGGAAAUUCUGUUUCUUGAAGGGAACUCCUCAGAGAAAAGGACCACAAGCAAAUUGCUGCUGCUACAAAAUGAUACCAUAAUGAGAAUGGAAAUAAUCCUGGAUUCUCUGCUCAUUUCGACAAGUAAAAUAAGGCACAUAUUUUUCAAUGGAUAA
ensembl:lncRNA EGFLAM-AS2 EGFLAM antisense RNA 2